rnacentral:rRNA from 1 species
CCUGAAACUUAAAGAAUUUGGCGGUAUCCUAAUCCGUUUCAAAGAAUCCGGCCCGGUAUCCAUAAUCCCCGUUGGAACUUAAUUAGGGUUAAUUUGGGUUUGAAUACCGCCGUUAAUUGAUUAUCUUUUUAAAGGGUCAUGAAUUUUCUGGUUUCUUUAAUUUGAUUUAUUGCAGGUCAAGGUGCAGCUUUUUCUAAGUGUAAGGAGGAAUUACUUGGUUAUGGGUGGUUGGAAUGGUUUAUUUUAAUAUUGGCAUGAAAUUGGAUUUGGUUGUAAUGUUUUGUAGAUUGUUUUCAUGAUAAUUGGUUCUAAGAUAUGUACACAUCGCCCGUCGCUCUU